UCAGAACUCUGAAUGGCCCGAGAGGUUUACCGAUGGAUGGCGCAGGGUGUCGCGGAAUCUUUGGCCUACUAGGCUACAACCAGUAGCCUAGGGUCCUAGUGAUUUUGCAUCUCCUUGUGCGGUCGAUUGGUACAGACUACACUGUUAGAGUAUAUUAUUCAGGUUAGAUUAUAUUAGAUAACUUCUGAUAUAGUUAGUUUAGAUUUAAUUGUAAUUUCGGGAUAACCUUCCUUUAUCUAGGAUAACAUUCCUUUUCCUUAUCUCUAGAAUAACAUUUUUGCUCUUCAAACCAUGUACUCUUAUAUAUUCUCCUUACAUGGUAUCACAAGUCUAGAUUUGAUCUUUGUUUGCCGCCGCCUUCGGGGAGAUCGCUAUCCACCGGGAGCGGCGUCCUCGUGGGAUACACCGCGGAUCCAUCUGAUCUGCUGCGUUCGUCGUCGCGUCGUCAAGCACAUCACCAGAUCGGAACUCACCAUCAAAGCUUCGGCGGCGGCCUAUGUCCACCUUCCCAUCGACUAGCCCAAGUGGAUCUGGCCCAUUGCACGUCGUCGUGGUGGCGGCUGUGAUGGGGCUGAAUCCCCGACGUGGAGGCGGAUGCGACCUCCACUGUCGCGCGGGUUACCCAGUGAUUUACAAGAUAUGUUGUUGUUGUUGUUGUUGUUGCGUCUUUUCGUUUUUUUCCUGCCAGAGAUCGGGUUUGCGCCUCCAUCAUCCAUCGCCCGUCGGCUCACGCGUCAUCGACAUUGGCUUCGACAACAUCGACUCCUUCAUCUUUUUCCGACUGUGCCGCAUGGCGUGGCUAGCGACGUUCUACGAACGCCCACAUUCUGUUUAUGCGCCUCUCCAAUGACACAUCGAUCUCCGCCAGUUCAUCGUCGCCACUACUGAUUGAGAGGUUCUGCCAUAGACAUCGACAUCACCAUUGUUGUCACGUCGGUAUGGCCAACCGAUCGCAUGCGCGACCUCACCCUCCCGUGACGUCUGUUGUCUACCGCGAGUUCCUUCACCGAGCAUGAGGGUUGUCGCUGUAUCGCCUCCUUGGCACUAGCGCGGCUUGUCGCCGUCCCUAUCGAUGUGUCGCCAUUUUAGGAAUGUUCCACUUAAAGCUCCUUGGGGAAAUGAUGUCAUAAUUGAGUACUAACAUCCUACUUGUACCCGUUUAAGGUUUAUGGUUAGCUCUUUGUAAUUACGGUCAUACCCAUGUGUAAUAGUCCGGACCCAACAACCUGAAUCUAUUAAUACAAAUCUCAACCCUAAAUUAAAGUUAGGUUUCCCAUACUCCCCCCUCUUCCCCACCCGUCCCCCCUUCCCACACUACUAUCCAAGUUUGACC
rnacentral:lncRNA from 1 species